GAUAUUCUUAGAGUCUCCCUGUAUUGGCGUGUUAAUAGAGGUGUCUUUGGCCGGGCAUCUCGGUUAGUGAAUC
rnacentral:ncRNA from 1 species